rnacentral:misc_RNA from 1 species
AAGUCGUAACAAGGUUUCCGUAGGUGAACCUGCGGAAGGAUCAUCAAUAAUCCAAAUGAUUCAUGACUUAAAAAAUCAUGAAUCAAACCUUCUUGUGCAUCGUUUAAUGUUUAUUAGUUGGGAGAUUAAUUUGAGGAUGUCUACUUUUUUAAAUAAUAAUUAUUAUUUAAAAUUGUAGUCAAACUGACUCCCAACUGAUUAAUUUUAUACAAACUAUUUUAUAUUUAAAGUUGUUUAUUUUACAGGAAACUGUACUAAUAUAAAUACAACUUAUAGCGAUGGAUCUCUAGGCUCUG